AGAGUUUGAUCCUGGCUUAGGAUGAACGCUGGCGGCGUAGCUUAACACAUGCAAGUCGAACGAAGCAGCUUUCUUGCUUGCAAGAGAGUUGACUUAGUGGCGGACGGGUGAGUAACGCGUGGGUAACCUGCCUCAUACAGGGGGAUAACAGUUGGAAACGACUGCUAAGACCGCAUAACCCGCUAGUGUCGCAUGACACGGACGGAAAAUAUUUAUAGGUAUGAGAUGGGCCCGCGUCUGAUUAGCUAGUUGGUAAGGUAACGGCUUACCAAGGCGACGAUCAGUAGCCGACUUGAGAGAGUGAUCGGCCACAUUGGGACUGAGACACGGCCCAAACUCCUACGGGAGGCAGCAGUGGGGAAUAUUGGACAAUGGGGGGAAACCCUGGUCCAGCGAACCGCCGCGUGAGUGAAGAAGUAUUUCGGUAUGUAAAGCUCUAUCAGCAGGGAAGAUAAUGACAGUACCUGACUAAGAAGCCCCGGCUAACUGCGUGCCAGCCGCCGC
rnacentral:rRNA from 1 species